AGUGAACGCUGGCGGCAGGCCUAACACAUGCGAGUCGAACGGCAGCACAGUAAGAGCUUGCUCUUACGGGUGGCGAGUGGCGGAAGGGUGAGGUAUACAUCGGAAUCCACUCUUUCGUGGGGGAUAACGUAGGGAAACUUACGCUAAUACCGCAUAUGACCCACGGGUGAAAGCAGGGGAUCUUUGGACCUUUCGCGAUUGUAUGAGCCGAUGUCGGAUCAGCUAGUUGGCGGGGUAAAGGCCCACCUAGGCGACGCUCCGUAGCUGGUCUGAGAGGAUGAUCAAGCACACGGAAGCGAGGACACGGACCCAACUUGUACGGGAGACAGCAGUGGGGAAUAUUGGAAAAGGGGCGGAGGCGUGUUCCGGACAAAGCGCGUGAGUGAAGAAGGCCUUCGGGGUGUAAGGGCCUUUUGUUGGGAAAGAGAAACAGCAGGUUAAUACGCCGGUGUUUGAACGUAACCCAAGAAUAAGGCACGGGCAAACUUCUG
rnacentral:rRNA from 1 species